AAUCUGGUACUUUCAGUGCCCGAGUUGUAAUUUGUAGAAUUUGUCUUUGAUUAGGUCCUUGUCUAUGUUCCUUGGAACAGGACGUCAUAGAGGGUGAGAAUCCCGUUUGGCGAGGAUACCUUUUCUCUGUAAGACUUUUUCGAAGAGUCGAGUUGUUUGGGAAUGCAGCUCAAAGUGGGUGGUAAAUUCCAUCUAAAGCUAAAUAUUGGCGAGAGACCGAUAGCGAACAAGUACAGUGAUGGAAAGAUGAAAAGAACUUUGAAAAGAGAGUGAAAAAGUACGUGAAAUUGUUGAAAGGGAAGGGCAUUUGAUCAGACAUGGUGUUUUUUGCAUGCACUCGCCUCUCGUGGGCUUGGGCCUCUCAAAAAUUUCACUGGGCCAACAUCAGUUCUGGCAGCAGGAUAAAUCAUUAAGAAUGUAGCUACCUCGGUAGUGUUAUAGCUUAUUGGAAUACUGCUAGCUGGGAUUGAGGACUGCGC
rnacentral:rRNA from 1 species